GGGGUCUUGAAGUGCAUCUCAGGCAUCUUAAACUUGGGCCCUUUCAACUUUGCAUCAGGACACUCCAGCUCAACAUCAGGCAUGGAGAUCUUGGGGGUCUUGAAGUGCAUCUCAGGCAUCUUAAACUUGGGCCCUUUCAACUUUGCAUCAGGACACUCCAGCUCAACAUCAGGCACCUCCACACCCACACUGGGACCUGUUAAAUCUCCCUCCAAUUUUGGCACCGACACAUCCACAUCCCCUUUGACUUUGGGGCCUUUCAAGUGUAAGUCCACAUCAGGCAUGGAGAUCUUGGGGGCCUUGAAGUGCAUCUCAGGCAUCUUAA
rnacentral:lncRNA from 1 species